rnacentral:lncRNA from 1 species
UUUUUUUUUUUUUUUUCCUUUUAGCUUUAGAAAAGUGUUUUGUCUGCAUGUAUGAGUGUUCCACAUUCGUGCUAGGUGCCCCCCAACCCCGGGGCCAGAAGAGACCGUGUGAUCCCCUGGGACUGGAGUUAUAGAUGCUUGUGGGCUGCUGUGCGGAUGCUGAGGAUCAAACACGGGUCCUCUAAAGAGCAGCCAGUGCUCUUAACUGCUGAGCCAUCUGCAGCCCUAAGAUUUAUUUUAUUUUUAGUUGUGUGUUUAUGGGGAGGUCUUCCUGCAGAGGUCAGAAGAGGGCCUUGGGUCCCCCUCGAGCUGGAAUUACAGGUGGUUAUGAACCCCCUGGGGUGGGUGCUAGGAACCAGAUUCCAGCCCUCAGCAAGAGCAUCAAGCACUCUAACGCUGAGUCAUCUCUCAGUUCUUUAGCAGAUCCAGCGGUGAGAGGCAAACUGAAACAGGGUCCAUGAGCCUCGUUCUUAACAAGGAAAAGACAUACCCGCCAGGGACUUGAGGUACAACUUUUAAAAGGUUGUCCCUCCUUUCAAAAGGACUGUUGGGCUGGUGAGAUGGCUCAGUGGGUAAGAGCACCCGACUGCUCUUCCAAAGGUCCGGAGUUCAAAUCCCAGCAACCACAUGGUGGCUCACAACCAUCUGUAAUGAGAUCUGACUCCCUCUUCUGGAGUGUCUGAAGACAGCUGCAGUGUACUUACAUAUAAUAAAUAAAUAAAUCUUUUUAAAAAAAAAAAAGGACUGUCUGUGGUGGGAGAGACAAUUCAGUGGGUAAAGUCACUUGCCACCAACCCUGAUGGCCUGAGUCUGAUCCCUGGGGCCCACAUGGUGAACAUAAAAGCUGACUCUGGCAAGUUGUUCUCUGACCUUCACAGGUGCUACAGUGUGUGUGUGUGUGUGUGUGUGUGUGUGUGUGUUCAGAACUGGGUCUGAGUGGAGAAACAAAAUAAUCCCUCCUCUUUUGUGGGGUAAGCUGUAAGUUGCCUUGGCCUGACACCCUCAGUUGCCAUGGCAAGAGGAGGCCAUUUCUGCUCAAAGCUGUCCCCUAGGGAAGGCAGAGAUGGUUGCUAAACUACAGGAGUCAGAUUUCCUGAAGCAGAUGGGGUAGGGGAUGGGAGUGGGGUUGGUCCUGGAAGAGGCUUGGUCCCUCCCCAGUCAGGAUGCUUCCAAGUAUGAACUGGAGUACGGAGGCCGUCGGCAAACACCCCGGGGUUGGAGAUAAUUGCAUAAGAGAAUUCCUUCCAAGGGUUAGGGUUUAAUUAGUAAACUUCAGAGAUGGCAGAGGACGUGGGAGUAAUAGAACUGUCAGCAUGUAUGACAGAACUCAGGGAUGCCCACUUCUGUGGAGUCCUCCUUCCACUAGGGUGAGCCUCUGUCAAUGAGAACAGCUCAAACCAAUCAGUGUGUUUAUAGAUGACCAGGGCGAGCCAGCUUGUGUGCACAGUUCCCGUGGCCGGUGACCCGCACCGUGCCAGUGAGGGCAACCCAGACUGGCUGCUGUUGGGUCCUAGGCAGUUUCAAUGACUUAUUUAGCAUAUAAUUUCUUGUCAGGAGUUCGAAUGAUGGCAGCUCUGGGCAUGGCUAUGGCUGAUCUUUUUGUCUGUUUGUUUUUGUUUUUCAAGACAAGGUUUCUCUGUCUAGCCCUGGCUGCCCUGGAACUCACUCUGUAGAACAGGCUGGCCAUGAACUCAGAGGUCCCCCUACCUCUGCCUCCUGAGUCCUGGGAUUAAAGGCGUGCACCACUACCCAGCUGGCUGUAGCUAAUCUUGUUUGGCCUCUGACCUUUCUGUUCCAUUUUUUGUGUGAGAUGUGCUUUCUAGGCCAGACUCAGGGGAGACCCAGUCAAGUCUCCUCUACACUUGGCCAAUCUUCUUCUUCUUGUGGUUUGGGUUUUGUUUUCCUUGUUUUGUUCUUGUUUUUGUUUUGUUUUAUUUUGUUUUUGAUACAGUUUUUCUCCAUGUAGCCCUGGCUGUCCUGGAACUAGCUCUCUAGUCCAGGCUGGCCUCAAAUUCAGAGAUCACCUUCUGUCUCCCCAGUGCUGGGAUGAAAGGCUUGGGACACCACACCUGGAUGCAGCUGCUCCAUCUUUAAUCUUGCUGACAGCUUCUCUCUCUCUCUCUUUCUCUCUCUCUCUUAAAAGAUUUAUUUAUUUCAUGUAUGUGAAUACAUUGUCACUGUCUUCAGGCACAUCAGAAGAGGGCAUCAGAUCCCAUUACAAAUGGUUGUGAGCCACUAUGUGGUUGCUGGGAAUUGAACUCAGGACCUCUGGAAGAACAGUCAGUGCUCUUAACCGCUGAGCCAUCUCUCCAGCCCCAGCUUUACUUUUGGCUGUGCAUCUGAAGGCCAGCACUUUGGGAAUGUGUCUGUGCAGCUCAGAGACUUCUCAUCAAGCCUUUGAACUCUCUCUCCAUGUUAAAAUCAUUCAUUACUGAUCGUGCUGAUAUUUGCACAUCUGCGCAAGUGGUUGGCUGCAGAAGGCCUUCUGUUCCCUUUCCCUGGGCUCAGCAUCCCCUCUCCUCCUCAUCAGAUCUUCCUGAUGCUGAUUAACUACCUCUCCACUCUGCCUUCACCUCAUCUCUUAUCUCUUUAAUCUGCGUAUCAGACAGGAUGCCCAGCUUAGCCUGUUGGUAGUGCGGGAGCGUGGGAUUUCACACUAACACUCCAGUUAUAUCUGGGCCUUCGUUUCCCUCUGUGCCCCAUGGAAGUUGGUAUCAGUGAAAUGACUUGACCUUAUUAAGCCAAACACAAGGGGGUUUCCUGAUUCCUGGUGAUGGGUCGUAGAGGGUUGUGUUGCCUGGUUACCUCCUCUCAGCCACUGUCUAGAAAGGAAUGAGCCUUUAUCUUCUUGCCACUAUCCCCACAGUCAACAAGGAACAGCAAAGAGCUUGCCCAGCUGUAGCAAGUGUUCAGCUGGAAGUACAAGGAAGUGGGUGGGCACUGGCAGACAUCAAUCACGUUUGCUUUCCAUCCACUCUGCGGGGGGGGGGGGGGGUGUUUGACCUGCAUUCUGGCCUCUCCUAGCCUGUUGGAGAUCACCCUGUCCUUCUUUCCGUCUGCAGUAGUUACUACUUACCAAGCAGGAGGUGAUACUCCAGCUUGGAUCUUGUAGGCUGUCUUCUUGCUGGGUUUCACUGUGCGAGCUAAGAAAGACAGCACAAGCCGGGUUGUAAAGUGCUUGGGAAAUAGUAGAAAGGACACAGGGCCAGUAGCCAGCCCGCCUGCCAUCAUACGCCCCCUGCUUUAUUACUUAGUUGCGUGCCCCUUCAGGAGUCUUUUAACCUCUCUGGACUUUGUCCUACCUGGUAGAUCAUGUUAAUCAUGGUCCUGAGAACGGGGAGGGCUGGGGAGGUAGUUGGGCAGCUGAGAUCUGGUAUGCACUUGGUGAAGACUGGUGUCUGGGUAUGAAGCUGUCAGUAUUGAGUGAUUCACAAUACUUCUAACUCCAGCUUCAGGGAGCCUAAGGCCCUCUUCUAGUCUCUCCAGGCAUACAUACAUGUAUACACACACACUCUCUCUCUCUCUUUCUCUCCCUGGGCACAUGCAUGUGUGGGUAUACACACAAAUAAAAAUAAAAUAAAUCUUUAAAAAAAACAAAAAACAAAAAAAACCCUGCCGGGCAAUGGUGGUACAUGCCUUUAAUCCCAACACUUGGAAGGCAGAGGCAGGCAGAUUUCUGAGUUCGAGGCCAGCCUGGACUACAGAGUGAGUUCCAGGAUAGCCAAGGCUACACAGAGAAACCCUGUCUGAAACAAAACAAAACACCAAAACAACAACAACAAAAACAAACCCCAAAAACUAAUGGUACUCAGCUCAUUCAGUUAUGGAAAAUGUUAAGUUAAAAUGUUAAU